GAGGCGAAAACCUCGGCGUGUUGCGGUCGUUCGCUACAAUUAAAUGUCGUAACGACUCUCGGCAACGGAUAUCUCGGCUCUCGCAUCGAUGAAGAACGUAGCGAAAUGCGAUACUUGGUGUGAAUUGCAGAAUCCCGUGAACCAUCGAGUCUUUGAACGCAAGUUGCGCCCGAAGCCGUUAGGCCGAGGGCACGUCUGCCUGGGCGUCACGCA
rnacentral:rRNA from 1 species